rnacentral:rRNA from 1 species
AUUGAACGCUGGCGGCAGGCCUAACACAUGCAAGUCGGACGGUAGCACAGAGGAGCUUGCUCCUCGGGUGACGAGUGGCGGACGGGUGAGUAAUGUCUGGGGAUCUGCCCGAUAGAGGGGGAUAACCACUGGAAACGGUGGCUAAUACCGCAUAACGUCGCAAGACCAAAGAGGGGGACCUUCGGGCCUCUCACUAUCGGAUGAACCCAGAUGGGAUUAGCUAGUAGGCGGGGUAACAGCCCACCUAGGCGACGAUCCCUAGCCGGUCUGAGAGGAUGACCAGCCACACUGGAACUGAGACACGGUCCAGACUCCUACGGGAGGCAGCAGUGGGGAAUAUUGCACAAUGGGCGCAAGCCUGAUGCAGCCAUGCCGCGUGUAUGAAGAAGGCCUUCGGGUUGUAAAGUACUUUCAGCGGGGAGGAAGGCGAUAAGGUUAAUAACCUUGUCGAUUGACGUUACCCGCAGAAGAAGCACCGGCUGACUCCGUGCCAGCCGCCGCUGUAA